GAUGCUGAUUUUCAUUAGUCUCUUUGUUGUUGUCGUUGUCGGUAUGAUGACUCAUUUUAUUUGGUUCUACAAUCGCCCAACGAUGGAAUAAUUUGGGCAGUGCGACUGUAGAAACGGAAUCACCAAAAAACAAUCAACCAAAUAGUGACGACCACAAAAGGAACGACUCGAUCCAAAAAAGCGUUUUGAUUUUGAAUAAUUUCAGUUCUCACAUGAUUUAUGUAAUCAUCAUCAUGACAAACCAAGAAGCAUUUAAUCGCACCUCUUUUCGACUUACUGGAGUCUGGGUUUUGUGUGCUAUGGUUUUGGUGAAUUCCUAUACGGGAAUCGUCACGUCAUCACUCAACUCCGAAAAUGAAACCGUCCAUUGGAUCGCUGGAAGAAUUGGCUGCAAAAAGCAAAUUCUGGCGUUUAUAAAGUUUUGGGAGAUCAGGCCCGGCUUCAUCCAGAUCAAGUUCUCGGUGAUCCUUUUACAUUAGACGCAAAACUGAAAACUGGCCGCUACGCUUAUCCAUUUAUUUCCAUAUCACUGAAAGAGAAUCAGCGUCCUGGUUGUCCUUCCAAGAGGUUAAGGAUUACAAUUUCAAGAACCGGGUGGGGAAAAUGAAUUUUGCAUUCAGAAUAUACAUUAGAUUUAAUGAGAACCAUUUGGUUGUCCUUCCAAGGGAAAAGAAAUGAGCAAAACCACCAAAAUGGUCAACAAUGUUCUUUGUUUGUUUUCUUCACCCGUUGACUUCUACCCCUUGAAUCCCCCUCCCUAAUUCCUUAUUGGAUAGGGCCCCCUCUUAUUUUUGAGGUUAAUCCUGCGCCGCUACUCCAUGGGCUGAAUUCCUUGGUGGAAACUGACGAGAGAUUAGAGACCACUGACUCUAAUCUGCGGAAUGACGGGCUGUCAUUCAGCAAUACUGCUCACAUGCGUGCCGUCCUUCCGUCGCCCCGAGGCAUGGUGCCUGCUCCAGCUACGCGGCCAGCAUCAUUCGACUACACACCCGACGGCCUGGGCUUUCGACAUUCGACUACCCAACUUGUUGGGCUUAAGAAAAAUAUCACUUGGCUUGACGACAAUGUGCAGUAGUUCUGCAGCCUGUUUCCAGUUCAGGCUCUUGCAUGCCGUCGGUGGUUCUGGUGUUAUCCUGGAUUGUGUUGAUGAUCAUCUAGUUGCGGCCAAAUGGUGAAAGAUGUCAUCGAAUCAAGUUCACUGUUGCAAGGAGUCUGUGGUACCGGUGUUAUCCUGGAGUGUGUUUUGACAAAUUUUGUUUUGCGUGUUUGUGAAUGGAGUUUUCUCGUCGUGCAUA
rnacentral:lncRNA from 1 species